AUAAAUAUAGCUUAAUUUUAAAGCUUUGAUUUUGUAAAUCAAAAAUGUAUCUACUAUUUAUA
rnacentral:tRNA from 1 species